AGAGUUUGACGUUAUCUGCCCGCCAUACUUAACCUCUUGCGAGUUGUCGCUCUUGACUUUCGUUACUACCCUGCUGGUUACCAAAUUGUAUACAAACGAAUGGACAACGCUAAACCGGGUGAUUUAAAAAUCGAAAAAUGGAACGAAGAGAAGGACGGAGAAUUAACAGAAUCCAACAUGGAAAGCAAGUUACGAAGACAAGGUUACACAUCUACAAGAUAUGAUUUUCCUCCGGGGGUGGAUUUUCCAGACCACAAACAUGGAGUUUCAAAGAAAAACUCCAUUCUAAAAGGAAAAAUGAAAUUCUCCAUGUAUGGACAAACAGUUAUUCUGGGCCCAGGGGAUAUGAUACAGGUUCCCAAAGACACAAUGCAUAAUGCUGGGGUGAUGGGAAAUGAUUUCCUUGUGCUUUACGAUUCCACUAGAGACCCAAAUGCUGAAAUCACAAAAGAAGAAUUAAAAACUUAAGACGCUCUGAGACAGAAGUUUUGAAAUGCGAAUAUGAUAGUGUUUGUUUUCUUGUUUUCUUUCAAUAAAAAAAAACGUCCCCACUAAAAAGAAGAAAAA